rnacentral:tRNA from 1 species
UGGCUUAGAUUGUAAAGCCUCUGCCUACAAUGCAGGAGACCAGGGUUCAAUCCCUG